GACGAACGCUGGCGGCGUGCUUAACACAUGCAAGUCGAACGGUGAUGGGGAGCUUGCUCCCUGGAUCAGUGGCGAACGGGUGAGUAACACGUGAGUAACCUGCCCUGAACUCUGGGAUAAGCGUUGGAAACGACGUCUAAUACCGGAUAUGUCUCGUGGACGCAUGUCCUGCGGGUGGAAAGAUUUUUCGGUUCAGGAUGGACUCGCGGCCUAUCAGCUUGUUGGUGGGGUGAUGGCCUACCAAGGCGACGACGGGUAGCCGGCCUGAGAGGGUGACCGGCCACACUGGGACUGAGACACGGCCCAGACUCCUACGGGAGGCAGCAGUGGGGAAUAUUGCACAAUGGGCGCAAGCCUGAUGCAGCAACGCCGCGUGAGGGAUGACGGCCUUCGGGUUGUAAACCUCUUUUGGCAGGGAAGAAGCCUUCGGGUGACGGUACCUGCAGAAGAAGCACCGGCUAACUACGUGCCAGCCGCCGCCGUAAAAC
rnacentral:rRNA from 1 species